UACGUCGGGUGCAAGCGUUAAUCGGAAUUACUGGGCGUAAAGCGUGCGCAGGCGGUUUUGUAAGACUGUCGUGAAAUCCCCGGGCUCAACCUGGGAAUGGCGAUGGUGACUGCAAGGCUAGAGUUUGGCAGAGGGGGGUAGAAUUCCACGUGUAGCAGUGAAAUGCGUAGAUAUGUGGAGGAACACCGAUGGCGAAGGCAGCCCCCUGGGUCAAAACUGACGCUCAUGCACGAAAGCGUGGGGAGCAAACAGG
rnacentral:rRNA from 1 species